rnacentral:rRNA from 1 species
UACGGAGGAUGCAAGCGUUAUCCGGAUUUAUUGGGCGUAAAGCGUCCGCAGGUGGUUUUCCAAGUCUGCUGUUAAAGCGCGAGGCUUAACCCCGUACAGGCAGUGGAAACUGGAUGACUAGAGUAUGGUAGGGGUAGCGGGAAUUCCCAGUGUAGCGGUGAAAUGCGUAGAUAUUGGGAAGAACACCAGCGGCGAAAGCGCGCUACUGGGCCAUUACUGACACUCAUGGACGAAAGCUAGGGGAGCGAAAGGG